AUUCAUCUUUUACCUAGCCUCACAAUGCAAUCUGGUUUGGGCUUUCUCAUUCAAUGGUUUGCUGUCAGGAACAGUUUGUAUUUUAAGGGUUCACUUUACUUUGAUGUAUUUUGUGGAAGAGAAAUGGAGCACAGAAUCAAACAGGGUUAGUUCUAGCUGCUUGAAACUGCACACACUCAAUCAGUUCUCUGUGGGCACUCUCAGGUUUGUUCCUUGUGAAUGUUGCCCUCAGCUGAAACAUGCAAAGCAACUUCAUCCCAGAGCACUUUUGGAGAAAUCAAGGAAAUAUGAAUGUACUGAAACACUUCCCCCAAUUAUUUGCUCAAAUUUAUUUGAUACUGUGCAGGAUUCAUCUGUUAGCUUGUCCCACUAGGCUCCCUUAGUUUGGGACUUCUAUGAUCAAAAGUUCUCUAAACAGGCUAGGGUGAGCUGUAGGAUUAGGAUUAAGGAUAGAUCUAGUGUUAGGUUUACAGUAGU
rnacentral:lncRNA from 1 species